AGCAGCCGCGGUAAUUCCAGCUCCAAUAGCGUAUAUUAAAGUUGUUGCAGUUAAAAAGCUCGUAGUUGAAUUUCGGGAUUAGUUCGCUGGUCGUGCCUUUGGUAUGUACUGGUGUUACUGGUUCCUACCUUCUGACGAACCGUCAUGUCAUUAAUUUGGUGUGGCGGGAAAUCAGGACUGUUACUUUGAGAAAAUUAGAGUGUUUAAAGCAGGCUCGCGCUUGAAUACAUUAGCAUGGAAUAAUGAAAUAGGACGUUCGAUCCUAUUUUGUUGGUUUCUAGGAUUGACGUAAUGAUUAAUAGGGAUAGUUGGGGGCAUUAGUAUUCAAUUGUCAGAGGUGAAAUUCUUGGAUUUAUUGAAGACUAACUACUGCGAAAGCAUUUGCCAAGGAUGUUUUCAUUAAUCAAGAACGAAAGUUAGGGGAUCGAAGACGAUCAGAUACCGUCGUAGUCUUAACCAUAAACUAUGCCGACUAGGGACCGGAUGAUGUUAUUUUUAAUGACUCAUUCGGCGCCUUAAC
rnacentral:rRNA from 1 species